rnacentral:rRNA from 1 species
UACCAGCACCCCGAGUGGUCGGGACGUUUAUUGGGCCUAAAGCAUCCGUAGCCGGUUCUACAAGUCUUCCGUUAAAUCCAACUGCUUAACAAGUGGGCUGCGGAAGAUACUAUAGAGCUAGGAGGCGGGAGAGGCAAGCGGUACUCGAUGGGUAGGGGUAAAAUCCGUUGAUCCAUUGAAGACCACCAGUGGCGAAGGCGGCUUGCCAGAACGCGCUCGACGGUGAGGGAUGAAAGCUGGGGGAGCAAACCGG